AGGGAAUUUUCGGCAAUGGGGGAAACCCUGACCGAGCAACGCCGCGUGAAGGAAGAAGGUUUUCGGAUUGUAAACUUCUGUUAUAAAGGAAGAACGGCGGCUACAGGAAAUGGUAGCCGAGUGACGGUACUUUAUUAGAAAGCCACGGCUAACUACGUGCCAGCAGCCGCGGUAAUACGUAGGUGGCAAGCGUUAUCCGGAAUUAUUGGGCGUAAAGAGGGAGCAGGCGGCAGCAAGGGUCUGUGGUGAAAGCCUGAAGCUUAACUUCAGUAAGCCAUAGAAACCAGGCAGCUAGAGUGCAGGAGAGGAUCGUGGAAUUCCAUGUGUAGCGGUGAAAUGCGUAGAUAUAUGGAGGAACACCAGUGGCGAAGGCGACGAUCUGGCCUGCAACUGACGCUCAGUCCCGAAAGCGUGGGGAGCAAAUAGGAUUAGAUACCCUAGUAGUCCACGCCGUAAACGAUGAGUACUAAGUGUUGGAUGUCAAAGUUCAGUGCUGCAGUUAACGCAAUAAGUACUCCGCCUGAGUAGUACGUUCGCAAGAAUGAAACUCAAAGGAAUUGACGGGGGCCCGCACAAGCGGUGGAGCAUGUGGUUUAAUUCGAAGCAACGCGAAGAACCUUACCAGGUCUUGACAUACUCAUAAAGGCUCCAGAGAUGGAGAGAUAGCUAUAUGAGAUACAGGUGGUGCAUGGUUGUCGUCAGCUCGUGUCGUGAGAUGUUGGGUUAAGUCCCGCAACGAGCGCAACCCUUAUCGUUAGUUACCAUCAUUAAGUUGGGGACUCUAGCGAGACUGCCAGUGACAAGCUGGAGGAAGGCGGGGAUGACGUCAAAUCAUCAUGCCCCUUAUGACCUGGGCUACACACGUGCUACAAUGGAUGGUGCAGAGGGAAGCGAAGCCGCGAGGUGAAGCAAAACCCAUAAAACCAUUCUCAGUUCGGAUUGUAGUCUGCAACUCGACUACAUGAAGUUGGAAUCGCUAGUAAUCGCGAAUCAGCAUGUCGCGGUGAAUACGUUCUCG
rnacentral:rRNA from 1 species